rnacentral:rRNA from 1 species
UACGAAGGGGGCUAGCGUUGUUCGGAAUCACUGGGCGUAAAGGGUGCGCAGGCGGGUUCAUAAGUCAGGGGUGAAAUCCCGAGGCUCAACCUCGGAACUGCCUUUGAUACUGUGGAUCUUGAGUCCGGAAGAGGUGAGUGGAACUGCGAGUGUAGAGGUGAAAUUCGUAGAUAUUCGCAAGAACACCGGUGGCGAAGGCGGCGACCUGGUCCUUUGACUGACGCUGAGGUGCGAAAGCGUGGGGAGCAAACAGG